rnacentral:sRNA from 1 species
CCCAACGAGCCCUUCCUCCCUUGUCUGACCGCUCUCUUUCUCGAUUUCUUCUUGUUGUGCCUUCUCAGUCUGCAGCCCUGGCCCCCGCUGUGUGUCUGGCCCUUGGUGACUGUCCGUGUUUCUGUUCCUGUCAUUGUAACUGACUUUUCUCUCUGUCUGCCCCCCCCUUCCUGCUGGUUCAUGCUUCUCCCCCAUUCCCACCCUCUCUGCCCGGCCUCCUGCUCCCGCCCUUUCUCCUCAUGCACCCGGCCUCGUCUCUGUAGUCUCUGCACUUGUCUCCCAUUAAGGUCCCAUCCAUGGGGGGGCGGAAGCGGGAGCGCAAGGCUGCCGUCGAGGAGGACACCUCCCUGUCGGAGAGUGAGGGGCCCCGCCAGCCCGAUGGGGAUGAGGAGGAGAGCACAGCCCUCAGCAUCAACGAGGAGAUGCAGCGCAUGCUCAACCAGCUGAGGGAGUAUGAUUUUGAGGACGACUGUGACAGCCUGACUUGGGAGGAGACUGAGGAGACCCUGCUGCUUUGGGAGGAUUUCUCAGGCUAUGCCAUGGCAGCUGCAGAGGCCCAGGGAGAGCAGCAGGAAGAUAGCCUGGAGAAGGUGAUUAAAGAUACGGAGUCCCUGUUCAAAACCCGGGAGAAGGAGUAUCAGGAGACUAUUGACCAGAUAGAGCUGGAGCUGGCCACGGCCAAGAACGACAUGAACCGGCACCUGCACGAGUACAUGGAGAUGUGCAGCAUGAAGCGUGGCCUGGACGUGCAGAUGGAGACCUGCCGCCGGCUCAUUACCCAGUCUGGAGACCGAAAGUCUCCUGCUUUCGCUGCGGUCCCGCUUAGCGACCCGCCGCCACCGCCAAGCGAGGCUGAGGACUCCGAUCGCGAUGUCUCAUCUGAUAGCUCCAUGAGAUAGAGACCUUCCUCCCCCUUGCACCCGAGGCCCUCACAGCUGGGAACUCAGCGAGGCAGAGGGUGGGGCUGCACAGAGGGGAACAUCAGCUGUAGCUCUGCACCAGGCCGGCCCCUGGGGACUGGGGCGCUCCUCCCUCGGGCUUUCUCCCUCGGUCUUGGCUUCUCCAGGGCUCUGGGGUGUCUGGAGCUAGGCUUGGCCCUACCAUUCUGGGGCCAUUUCCACCACAGUUGGGGCUGUCCUGCCUUCACGCGUGGGUGUCUGCUACUUCCCCAUCUUUAAAAUGCUGCCAGAGCGAUUGCGGCCCCUCACCUUGUCCACGUAUCAGGAAUGUGAAUAUGGGACCUUUCCUCCAUCCCUGUUGUCCGGAGCCAGCUCACUGUCUUCCACACUGGUGCUAACUGGCCCGGGCACUGGAGUGGAAUAGAAUGCAGCUGGAGGCUACGCAUGGCCUCUGCAGCACACGCAGUUGGAAAGGGCUUCUGUCCCUGUCAGCGGCGGAGGGCGUUGGGGCUGGCCGGGGCACCUCGUCCCUGCUAUGGUCCACAUGCUCAUGCUGUCCACCUGCCAGGUGGAGCAUAUGUGGCUGUGGCCCUCCCUCGUGGAGGUGCCGUGCUUUCAAGAGGCCUUAGUGCCCCGGAUGGGCACAGUGUUUUGAAGGGAGGAGGGAGCUCUUGCUCUCCUGGUCACUGCAAAAUGACAGAGAAGGUGAAGCUCCGUGCAUGUGCGCGCGGGUCUAUGUGCGCUCAGGGUCUCUGUUUAAGUAUCAGCUAAAGGUGUGCCUCCUCCGUGUCUGUCAUACACUGAGACCAACAGGCUACAGUGUCCCUGAUUCUUGGAAACGCCUGGAGAAGCUGGGGAGAUGCGAUUCACGAUGCC